GGGACGCGCCGGGACUCACUGCGUCCUCCCCCCUCUGGAAGGGGCAGUCCCACGUCGUCUCCCCGGUGCUGGGAUUGUAAUAGAACAAAUGUCCCGACUCCGUGUCGCGGUGGGUCUCCCAGUGGGCGCUGUGGGGCGGGCUGUGGGGCGGGCUGUGGGGCUGCGGGGCUGCGCUGCGCGCUGCGACCUCCCGCUGCAGCUCCUGCAGGUUGAGGUAGAUGUGGGCCGAGGGGUCCUCCGGCUCCCGGCGCUCCUGCGCCUCCCGCCGCCUCCCGGAGCUCUCAGUGGGGUGGGGGCCCACCCGGACCGCG
rnacentral:lncRNA from 1 species